AUGAUGUGGAUUAAUUCGAUGCAACGCGAAGAACCUUACUACCCUUGACAUGUCCGGAACUUGCCAGAGAUGGCUUGGUGCCCGAAAGGGAAUCGGAACACAGGUGCUGCAUGGCUGUCGUCAGCUCGUGUCGUGAGAUGUUGGGUUAAGUCCCGCAACGAGCGCAACCCUUAUCAUUAGUUGCUACGCAAGGGCACUCUAAUGAGACUGCCGGUGACAAACCGGAGGAAGGUGGGGAUGACGUCAAGUCCUCAUGGCCCUUAUGGGUAGGGCUUCACACGUCAUACAAUGGUCGGUACAGAGGGUUGCCAAGCCGCGAGGCGGAGCCAAUCCCACAAAGCCGAUCGUAGUCCGGAUUGUUCUCUGCAACUCGAGAGCAUGAAGUCGGAAUCGCUAGUAAUCGCAGGUCAGCAUACUGCGGUGAAUACGUUCCCGGGUCUU
rnacentral:rRNA from 1 species